GAUGAAGAACGCAGCGAAAUGCGAUAAGUAAUGUGAAUUGCAGAAUUCAGUGAAUCAUCGAAUCUUUGAACGCAUCUUGCGCUCCUUGGUAUUCUGAGGAGCAUGCCUGUUUGAGUAUCAUGAACACCUCAACUCUUGUGGUUUCCCACAAUGAGCUUGGACUGUGGAGGUUUUGUUGGCCCUGUGGUCAGCUCCUCUCAAAUGGAUCAGCUUACCGGUGUUUGGUGGCAUUACGGGUGUGAUAACUAUCUACGCUCGUGGUCGUCUCCAAAUAACCUCCAGUGAUGGAGGUUCGCUGGAGCUUAUAAAUGUCUCUCCCCAGUGAAGACAGCCUUUGAACGUUCGAUCUCAAAUCAGGUAGGACUACCCGCUGAACUUAAGCAUAUCAAUAAGCGGAGGA
rnacentral:misc_RNA from 1 species